UACGUAGGGUGCAAGCGUUAAUCGGAAUUACUGGGCGUAAAGCGUGCGCAGGCGGUUAUGUAAGACAGUUGUGAAAUCCCCGGGCUCAACCUGGGAACUGCAUCUGUGACUGCAUAGCUAGAGUACGGUAGAGGGGGAUGGAAUUCCGCGUGUAGCAGUGAAAUGCGUAGAUAUGCGGAGGAACACCGACGGCGAAGGCAAUCCCCUGGACCUGUACUGACGCUCAUGCACGAAAGCGUGGGGAGCAAACAGG
rnacentral:rRNA from 1 species